GCCGUAACUAUAACGGUCCUAAGGUAGCGAAAUUCCUUGUCGGGUAAGUUCCGACCUGCACGAAUGGCAUAACGAUGGCCACACUGUCUCCUCCCGAGACUCAGUGAAGUUGAAAUGUUUGUGAUGAUGCAAUCUACCCGCGGCUAGACGGAAAGACCCCAUGAACCUUUACUGCAGCUUUGCAUUGAACUGUGAACCGAUUUGUGUAGGAUAGGUGGGAGGCAGAGAAGAGGCCACGCCAGUGGCCUUGGAGCCGACCUUGAAAUACCACCCUGAUUUGUUUGCGGUUCUAACCACGGACAGUGAUCCUGUCUUGGGACCGUGCAUGGUAGGCAGUUUGACUGGGGCGGUCUCCUCCUAAAGGGUAACGGAGGAGUACGAAGGUACGCUAGGUACGGUCGGAAAUCGUGCUGAUAGUGCAAUGGCAAAAGCGUGCUUGACUGCGAGAGCAACAACUCGAGCAGAUGCGAAAGCAGGUCAUAGUGAUCCGGUGGCUCUGAAUGGAAGGGCCAUCGCUCAACGGAUAAAAGGUACUCUGGGGAUAACAGGCUGAUACCGCCCAAGAGUUCAUAUCGACGGCGGUGUUUGGCACCUCGAUGUCGGCUCAUCUCAUCCUGGGGCUGUAGUCGGUCCCAAGGGUAUGGCUGUUCGCCAUUUAAAGAGGUACGUGAGCUGGGUUUAAAACGUCGUGAGACAGUUUGGUCCCUAUCUGCCGUGGGCGUUGGAAGAUUGACGGGGGCUGCUCCUAGUACGAGAGGACCGGAGUGGACGCACCUCUGGUGUACCGGUUGUCACGCCAGUGGCAUUGCCGGGUAGCUAAGUGCGGAAGAGAUAACCGCUGAAAGCAUCUAAGCGGGAAACUUGCCUGAAGAUGAGUCUUCCCGGAGGUUGAACCUCCCUCAAGAGUCGUCCGAGACCAGGACGUCGAUAGGUCAGGUGUGUAAGCGCUGUAAGGCGUUGAGCUAACUGAUACUAAUUGCUCGUGAGGCUUGAUCCU
rnacentral:rRNA from 1 species